GGAAUUUUUAUUGAAGAAUUCAAACUCGAGCAAUCAAAUUAUAUCAUUUUCAAACAAGGAUCCACUUGUGAGUUUUACCAAAUCUCAGGGGUCAUCCUAUAAUUUACCCUAUAAAAAAUUGUUACUAGGGAACAUCAAAUUCGCAUAUGGAUCUCAUACUACUGCACUAUUCAAUAACCAUAGAAAGAGGCAUAACAUUGCAGAUGUCUCUUUCCAUUUUGUCAAAGACCUCAUCAAAAUAUCCCCCAAUUUCCCUUCAUUAAUACCUCAUGAACCUUCUCUAUGUGCUCUCCUGGGCUCACUUUCUUCUCCCCACUAAGAAGCUCAGUCCCCACUUCACUUCUCACAAACUCAUAUAUUGGAUAAGUCCUGCAUUUCUUGAUCCUGUUUGCUAUAGCAAAUUCUCCACUAUCAAAUCUCUCUCUCGCUUUGGGCACUUCUUCUCGUAGUCUUGCCUUCAACUCCUUAAUGAAAACUGGUAUCCCUUGAAUAUUGUGCAGCCAUUUUCAUCAGCACGUCCAGAUUUAGGGUACUUCUUGCAGUUUAGGCAGAAGUGUAUAAGAAGGAUUUGUUGGGUCGUCGAGAUAGGAGAAUACAGGUUGAUGCUUAACAACCUGCAAGAGUUCUUUCUCGCAGAAACCAGAUUCAAGUAGCGAUCCAUCUUCAGCAAUGUAAAGGGUUUUCCUUAUUACCUGGGCAGGACUCGUUUCACAACUUCCCUCAUGUUCUCCUCCAAAUGCCUUAGAUCAAUUGCCUGGCAAAGUGCCACCAUGAAAGUCGCAGACAUGAGCUUUAGGAUUUCAAUAGCUUCAGCGCUUUUUCUUGCUGAAAUCAAGCCAAGAAAGUUCACAUCUUGAUUGUGUUGUUCAGCACUUUGAACAUGGCUAGUUACAGGAAUUGCUUAGUACUGAAGCUCUGAGCAGUAUGCGGCCAUGGCUAUUUCUGCACCUUUGAACCCAUAGUCCAAGCUUGGAUUAGGCCCUCCGCUCAAAUUGGAAGGCAACCCAUUGUUGUAGCAGUCGCAAACAAGUUCAGAGAACUGAGCGAACAUGAGCUUUCCAAUUGCUGCAAUGGCAAUCCUGAGAUUGUCCAUGGAAACGCCAAUGGGUGUUCCUUGGAAAUUUCCUCCAUGAAGGGCAAGGUCUCUAGCUACAUCAAUUAACGGAUUAUCAUUUGACAGAAUUGAUCUCCCUCUUAAUUGAAUGAGUGGCUGCUCGAAUAACCUCAAUUUGUGGACCAAGCCAUUGUGGAGAGGUUCUAAUUGCAUAUCUGAAGGGCAAGGUCUUUUUCAUGGCGAAUUUUUGCUUCUUUCAUGCAGUCACUUUCAUCUUACAGGUGUUUCAUGAUAGCGGCUGCUUCAAUCUGGCCUGGAUGGUGCUUAAGCUCAUGAGUAAGUGGGUCUGUGUACGCUGGCUUUCCAUGCAUGACCUCACAGAACAAAGCAGAGAGAAUUUCUGCUAGGAGAGCCAAAAUGUUGGCAUCAAAACAAAGAGUUGCAGCUACAGCUGAGGCAACUGCCGUUCCAUUCACAAGAACCAAUCCUUCCUUCGCUUGUAGCUCAAAUGGAGCCUGAAUUCCAGCUCUCUUCAGAGCUUCCUUGGCAGUAAUCUCUUCCCCUUGAGGGGUUUCCACCUUGGAAUUGUGGCGGCCAGUUAACAAACCAGCAAUAUAAGACAAUGGCACAAGAUCUCCAGAAGCGGUGAUAGUCCCUCUGAGAGGGAGUUUAGGGAUCAAAUUUUCGUUCAUAAUCUUGGCAAUAGAUUCAAGAAUCUCCCAACGGAUACCAGAAUAGCGUUGCAUAAGUGUGUUGGUGCGAACGAGCAUACCUGCUUUGAAAUAACUGGUAGGAAGAUUCACUUUGCCAAUAACCCCAGCAUUGAGGAACCUUAUGAGCUCUGUCCGAAGGUCACCAGUUUUACUAGUGCGCCUAUGAGAAGUGGCACAAAAUCCAGUGGUAACACCAUAAGUGUCAGUCCCACGAGAGAUAUUCACAGCAACACAAUUGGCGCUCUUCGCUACUCGGUCACGAGCUGCAACCUCAUCAAGGAGAACCCUGACUUCACCCCGACGAGCAACAGUGAGGGUGGUGCCCUGGAUGUCAACGGUUUUGGCAUUGGCAAAUUGCGACACCAUUUGAGAGACUUCACCGAAAUGGGCACAUUGGAGAGACUCCGUAGCCUUCUUCCAGUGUGGUGGGGAUGAUGACACGAGAGGAUUACAGAAGGGGUGAUGAUUUUCACUAUCAAAGGGAGAGGCAAAUCCUUGUGUAGCCAUUGACAACAAAAGUAAAAAUUGAAGGUUUUUUUGGUGGUGAUAUUUGUGCUGUU
rnacentral:misc_RNA from 1 species